CUUACCACAUGAUUAAUGUGAGAUCAGGUCAUCAAGAGUGACCCAGCCAAGACAGACAGAAACACAGUUUACAAAGUUUCUGACAAACAGCAACCUUGUUUCCACUACAGCUCUAAGACCUUAGGGUCUUGACUAGGGCUGGACGAUAAACCAAAAAUUCACAGAUACCGAAAUUUACAACAAUAACCGACGUCAUUUUGCCCAUGUCAAUAUAUUCUGUGUCAAAAAACUAAAUAAAUACAAAGUUGGUUUUGGAUGUGUGUAGGUAGGCUAUGGUCUCAUGUCCCUUUAAGACGCUGUCCUACGUCAGAGACGUGACUCCGCCCCAUCCAGUCUGUAACAAAGAGGGAAAGACAGGUGAGGAGAUGGAGGACGGAGAGAAAGUUGUAGCGGCUGAAGUAGAAGAAGUUAAUGUGGGAGGGGGUGAGCAGCUUGUGGAGAAGUUAUCAUCCAUUUAUCGUUAUCAAGGUGAACUGAUCAAAAUAUCGUGAUAUUGAUUUGAGGCCAUAUCGCCCAGCCCUAGUCUUGACUCCAUUGGGGGUUGCAAAAUAUUUCUAAGGAUUACCAGAUGGUAUUGGAAAAGAUGAAAUAAUAACAGAUAACAUCCUCCUGGUGAUGGUUCUGUCUUCCAUCUUCAUGGUGUUCCCACUCAGGCUCACUGUGGGGGCAGGACUGCAAAAGCCCUCAAUAAUACUGUCAGGGGUGCUUGUACAAACAGGUCCAGAACCGAUGGUGUGUUGUGUAAAAAACUGUUCAAAAAAUCACAUUUUACACAUUUGGCACAUCACAAUCACAACAACACAAAACUCCUCUGAGUUUUUAAUGGUUUGAAAAGAACAACACUGAUUCAAAUUAUUAAAAAAACAACAUAUCAGUGUUUUUUUGAGUUUCCUGGGAUUACCCGUAAUGAACCCAAAUUCAUUGUUUCAUCAUGGUGCAUGCUUCUCUUCUGUCAUCCAAAAGGACAUUUGAUAAAAAUAGCAACAACAACAACAACAGAAAGUUGUCAUGGGAGCAUCUGUGGCAGGGGUAUCUGCGUCCAAAUUUAUUUCUCAGUCAAACAACCAGACUUAUUAUCAGAUUUUACAGCUCGGCAUAAAUCUCCUCAAGGAAAACUAUAAACUCACACCGUCAAGAUACAUUAUAGGUUGUGCGAUAACAGACCAUUCGGUGGAGGGUAAACUUGUGGGAAUGCUUUUUAAUUGAGGAAUGUUUUAUGAUCCUUGCCAGUCCAUGUCCCACCCCCCACCCCCCAAUCGCUCAUUAGACUUGCCGGUUAUGGAACCGUCAUGCAGCUCCUCUGUUUAUGUUCUCGUUGGCGGUUUAGGUGCAGAUCUGGCUCGGUCCAGAACUGCUGCAGCAGCUCUCUCCAUUAGUUUGGCUGAUUCAGGGUUGUUAGCCAUUUUUAAUUUCCCAUUAGACCCACAAAAACUCUUCAUGUUCCCUCUCAGGUAACUCAUUAAUUUGCUGUGAUGCAUAUGAGAUGGUGAGUGAGGGCCUCUUGCCAAGAGUUGGUUAGCGUUUUUAUGCAUAAAAGAAAUACAGAGUGGAGCAGAUGGUUGCAUUAGGGACUGAUGAUACUGACACAAUGUAGCGUGUGAAUGUGUCUGUGUUUUUGUGUGGGUGUGAAUAAAUUACAUACACUCAGUGUGUGUGUGUGUGUGUGUGUAUUGUGUAAGGACAUUAGGUUUCUGGAUCCCAUAUUUCAUGCUUUUGCUGUACCUGCACAUUCAGCCUGGAUGUUUGUGAACGCGAGCGCUAAGUAAUGAAUUUGCAAACCUGUGGAGACUGAAAGCACAAAUCAAAGACUAAGGGAUGCAUCACAAUGCAUCAAUUUGCGUUUGGACCGUAAAAAAAGGCGACCGCUCGCUCACAGACGGCACAUUUUAGCCUAUAGUGUCGGAGGAUGUGAGGACAAACAGAGGUCUGGGUUGGAUCCACAUCGCAGGAUUUCUCUUUCAUUUCACUCCGUGUGAGUCUGUGUGUGUUUUUGUGUAGCCUGUGUUAGCAUCUCUCUCUGGGCUCCAUCACCCCAUGACUCCAUUGUUGUAAACAGACAGAAAGCUAAGUUGACUCUGUGGUGGAUUUGAUUAUAUGAUAUCACAGCAGCGGGCAACAAACUUUAUCGGCUUAGCCCAUGUGUGCAGGUAUAGAUCAGAAACUCUCAGGUCUUAUGGAUUUGGAGCUGUGACAGAAGUCUUUUAAGGUAUUGCCGGAUCAAUCGAGGGCACCCUGGGGCAGCAGUAUCUUAGUCUAUAAGGACUUGGCAUGGGAACCUAAGGGUGACUGGAUCAAGUCUGGGUAUGUUGCAAGCAUGGAAAUGUUUCUGGAGAGGUGCCAGUACACUUCCAGCAAAGUUUGCUGCUGAGGACUUGAGAACUGAAUGUGUAACUACUAAUCUAAAGACUGAAGAAAAUGAACCUUAACACUCAGUUCCUACUACGUCCAUUUUGUGGACAUUUGUCAUUUCUUUCAUUUUUAUUUUUAAGCUGACAGUCGCAUUUUUAAAGACUGGCGCAUCAAAUUUGGUGAUAGUUCUUACUUUUCUUCAUAUUAAAAAACAGUAUUUUUUAUGGUUGGGGCUGAAGUUCAGAGAUUUGAUUGAAAAAAAGUAAGAAAAAAUGUUUUAAAAUUAUAAUUUUACAAACACUAAUCUGCAGGUCUGUUUUUGGGGACAAAAUAGUCUGGAUGGAGCUAAUAUACAGACAUUGGCACUACAAAAAAAAUUAAAUGCACCAAAAUUGAUUUCACUACUCAUUACUGACUAUGUAUUUAAAAAUAUUUAAUCUAGGUUAUUUUAUUUGGGAAAUGUCACGAUUUUGUGUUUUUUACCAAUAAAAACAACAGUGACAUGGUCCACAAUAACUAACAUAAUUGACAGAAAAGAUGUUUGAGGAACGUUUACUAAAGUUUAUGUACUGCAGCCGGUCAGUAGGGGGAGCUCUGAUUAUUUUGGUUUUACAUUUUGUUUAGUAUAAAGUCUCUAGCUUGAACCAUCAAAGGUUUUAGUGUAUUUGACUCAAAGAUAAACUUAAACCAUCACAGUUUGGGCAAAGUGGUUGAUUUUGUAUUGUUUAAUAUAUUUACUGCUGAAUUAUUUCACUCUUACGUGGAUUUAUAAAGGUUCAUGAAGGUUUGGGGUUGGAUCGAAGACUCAGCUUUGAUUGACAUGCAGCCGUGAGGGCAGUUAAAUCAAUGUUUUAAAUAACUGUUUCAAUAACACAGCUGAAGUCUUUGACGAACAGUUUAUUUGCAAUGAAUGAGCACAUAGCGGUAUAGAUCACGGGAUGAAAGACAGAUCUAGAGACAGAUUCAUCAUUGAUUGCUUAGAAUUUAACCUUGGCGUAGUGGAAAAGUCUUUAAACCAUCCAGACAAGGCUGAAAAAAGCAGCAGUGGUGAUCAAAAAAACAAAAUGCCAUAUAAACUCAGGUCGAGGCUUUCCUACAGAGAGCUAAUUUUAAAGAAACCCACAUAUCAAUUGUGAGAUAAAUACGCUUACUUAAAGGGCUAUAUAUCCAACGUUUCAGCUGGGAAGUCUGAAAAUUACAGCCUCACUCUAAAAAACUGUUAAUGGGUACCCAAGGCUAAAUAACUUCACUGAGUGCUUCAGUGAAAAGAGUGAAAGCCUGAAUGUCUUCAGUCAAAGUAUUCAAAAAGUCAAGGGUUCAUUGUUCGGAAAGUUGUCUUGCGAAAUGAAAUUGCUGAAUUAAAGUGAAUUUGGAGGUUUAAAUGUACCAUCCAAACGCCUUCUGAAAGGAAGUAAGAUACAUAUUUUUGCAAUGCGCAGCCUUCUCAAGGUUGAUGAAAAAUCAGAGAUGUGAAAAUAGUAAUCAGAGGGAAGAUGAAAAGAAGCAAAGGAGCCCUCGUGCAAGAACCUCGGAGGGGCUGGAGACAUUGCAAUUAUAGAAACUAUUGACUUGUGUUUCCCAAGGUAUGAUCAAUUGCAGCGAAAUAAUGACAUCUCUGUGUUGUUUUGACCCAUUCACAGUGAAGGCAAUUUAUUUUGUGUGACAGGAGGCUUGCUGGGGACAAACUGGCUGAUGUGUGCCAGAGAUCAGGGAGAGGGGAGGUUUCAGCAGCAGCAGAAGAAGGUCAUUUCUGUGUACAUCAACCUCUUUUAGGAUGUGCCCUCCAAUGUUUUUCUUUCAAAUGUUUUUCUGUCUUUAGGAGAGAAAGUGUCUGUUGAUCCUCUGCGAAGGUAACGGGAAAUAACCUAGAUGUACUCCAGCAUUCCUUCCCUGAAUAAAUGUCUAUUAUUAACUGAGCACUAUUAUUAAAAGGGUGUAACAGACCUCGCUCAGGCAGAUAAAUAUAUAACCACGGAUAGCUUUUAAAUAACUUCUCUGCAAAUUUCUACUGAAAUAAACAGGAUUAUUUUACUUAGAAUUUUCCCAUUUCCUUUGGAGUGAGAAGAAAAGACUGAGUCCAGAAAACAAACAUUAAACUCUUAGAUGUUUAAUGGCAUUUUAAACUGAAAACAAACCUUUCUGCCUUUUACUUCAUGACAGAAGUCAUGAAGUAAACUUCAUGACUUAACAGAAAGUCACUUAACAGAAAUUUAAAAUGAUAACUUGGAUUUAAACUUUUAUGUCAUGAUGUUACUAUUAAAUGUAUAACUGAAUGUAAAAUUGCAUGUUUUAUAUAUGAUACCAUGUGGUACAUGUUGGUUUUUCCCCAACAUAGAGCUUUGUAAAAUCUUUAUUUGUAUCCUGCUACAUUUUUCCUUCCUUUCCUCAUAAACCAAAAAAAUAAAGACAUGAAAAACAUUUUCUACAGUGUGUAUCUGCUGUUGUUGUUUUCUAACGGUGAAAUAAUGUUUUGGAUAUUUGAUUAAAAUGGUUUUGCAUACUAAAAACAUUUUUUUUUUAAUUAUUAAAGCAAUCAAACUAACCAAUAUCUUUAUGUAUUGUUCUUAAAAUAAAGUAAAAAGAUUAAAAUUUUUAAAGUUUGAUUUUUUUCUGUGAAGAACGUGAAGGGUAUCUUAUAAUUUCCCUUUUUAGAAAUCAUCAUACUUAAAAAUUAUUUAUAAAAACACGGUAUAUUCAUUUAAGUAAUCUUGCAAAAUGGCCGCCAUGCGCGGACGUCGGUCUCCAUUAGCUAACAGCGUGCGUAAGCCAAAUGUUUAUAUAUGUAUGGUCAUCACAGCGACUCUCGGCGACUCUCCCGCCGAACGCGCACAACGCUACUGCGCAAUGUUGCUUUCAGGAAGUGGAGAAAAAACGCGGAAUUACCGGGAGCUUUUUUCGGCUUCAAAUCCGUAUAAUGGCGGAAGGAGGAACCAAGUUGUCCAGAGUUUAUACAGUCUAUGUUCGUCACCUGCUGCUGAACUCUGAAAAAUCACUCUGGUCACUCGGUUUGUAAGUUUUCGUCUCGUCUGGAAUCAGAUGUGGAAGAAUAUUCCCUUUCCUCCGCUCUCGGAUUAACGAACUUCGACUCCAUUCCGACCAUCCGGACCCGGUACCUGGCAGAACCUUCCAGACUCCACCGAGGAGCUCGUCUCAACAUCAAGCUAAGUCCUGCUGCUCGCUUCUUUUCAUGCUCGUUUUGACUUUAUUCUGGCUGCUUGUGUUGCAGAUUAAUGUUGUUUUACUGCUUUGCUGAUGUUUCUGUGGUUUAUGUCGGGAUGUCUGCUGCACGGCUGUGAUUUUAUGAUGUUUUGCUGCGGUUCAAACAUCUGUGAGCUUCAUAUUUUCUUCCAUAUUUAUGUAAAUUAAGAGCUCUGUCUUUGCCUGUUCAUCAUCUGCUCUUUUAUUCUGCGUGUGAAGUGAUAAUAGGAGCUGAUUUGGUGCUUAGAAAUAUAUCUAUUAUACUGAAAAAAUGAAAAAGUUCGGCUUUUGAUGGCAUGAGAAGGCUCGAAUUGUUUGUAUUUAUUUAUUUUUUGCUGUCUUUGGCCCUCUUCUUAUUGACUUUGACUCUGGUAUUUACCUCUGGUGUGGAGAGAACUGGGCCUUUUAGUAAAGGGUAGUGUUGUGUACAUUUGGGUUGUAAACAGAAGUGACCUGUGCUGCUCGCUGCCAAUUUAUAUUGUAUUGUCAGAGUUUUACAGGCUAAGAAAGGAAAAGAACAUUAAUAUAUCACUUAUACCUUUGCACAACAAUAGAGCUUGAUUUUAAAAAUGUAAUUUCACAGCAUGCUAUGAAUUUUUAUCAAGUAGUUUUUGAAGUACAUCCACACAUUUGCACUGCAACUCUUUGGCUUCUACAUGUACACUCAUGGACAUGCUGCUGUCAAAUCUGUGCAGCAUUUUGCCUUUUUUUGCUUCAAGUGUACACAUACUAGAGUGAUUAUUGUUGCAGAGGACAUAAUACGUUUAUUCAUGGUAUUUGAGUCACUUUAAACUGAUUAUUUUUCAACUGCCAGUUUUAAAGAAUCUGUACUAAAAACUAAAAAAUAAAUAGAUAAAUACUAAAUAAGACGUUAAAUAGCUUUUCUUCCCAACAAUAACAUCUUUGGAGGAUGACUCAAAGUCAUGGCUGACAUCUAUUUUACUGCCCUCAGCUCCGCCUUCGGUUACUCUGUUUAAUUGUCCAGCCACUUACAGAAGUGAGCAGGAAAAGCUCGACUCUGAUUGGCUGUUGUGAUGCACAGUUUCGUCAAGUUUGAUUGAGUAAAUAUACUCACUGCUGAUCACUGUGAUCGAACUGAAAUUUAUCAUGAUAAUUAAUCCCGAUCAUAUAAUCGCUCAGUCCUACGCCUAAGUUGAAAAAGUAAGAAGCACACACAGAACUUUAGGGGCAAAAUUGAUCAAACAAUGUGUGUCUUAUUGGUCGACAUGAGUACUGUUAUUUAAAAUUAAUUUUAGGUCUUUAGGUCACAUGACAUUAAAGCUAUUGAAGGAAAACAGCCUGUUUGAGAACAUCAACCGGUAAUUUAUUGACGGUCCCUUAUUCAACACCUGACGUUGACAGCGAGGGCGCCGAGUAGAUUUAACCGCGCUGCUGUUGUUAUUCCCGGUCGUGGAGAGUGAGAAGACGCCGGUAGAUCCUCAGUGAAUGUCCGUCGGAUAUCCAACCUAAAACUAACUUCACCGCCGUAUUUACAGGAAAAAACAUUUACUGCCUCGGCUGAUUUUUUAUGUAUAUUUUACAAUUCGCACGCAUCUAUUUUUAGUCGCAGAGAGAAACGGUCGCACUGUCAAACCCUGCUGAAAUGUCAUAUUUACAUUACGUAGGUGGGUUUGUAACCAGUGAGCACUCCAUCACUUGGCCUCGGGUUGGAUGGAUACAUAAGGCAUCGGUUUUAUAAGCAGCCUGUUGAGAUGUGAAGACAUCUGCAGGCCUCUGUCUCACACAGUUGAUGGUGCGCAUCAAUAUUUGAGACGAGUGUCACGUAGAGAAAGUUUGAUUGAGUCCCUGCUCUUCAUGGACUCGCUCUAAAGUGUGUCUUUCAUGUCAGGAAAUUCUCUUUCCAUGGGGCUCUCACUAGUCAUUAAACUACAGUGUCAAAAUUAAUGUAGUAAUGAUUUAUUGAUGGUCAAAUGCCAUAUAAGUCUUUUAAUCAAAGCUCAAAUGUUUAGCAUAUAAAUGGGGCUUUCUUCAUGGAUUUAGAAGUGAAUGUCUGGUUGAGCGCGGCAGAUCGAAGCGAUCAUUGCAUACUUUGGUGCUUUCCACCAAAAACGCUCUUUGAAAAUGAACUCCUCUUUGCACUCACACAUCUGUAUUUCGCUGUGACACAGACAAAUGGGACGGCGAGGACAGUAGGAAAAGUACUCCAAUUCCUCUCGCCUCCUCACAGAAAACGAUCCAUCAGGCUCCCAGCGACCCCUCAGACUCAGCGUCUGCUUUGUCUGCAAAUCGCUGAAAUCCCAAUCCCAAAUCCACUCACACAUCCAUCCUGACUUUAUUGCUGCUCGCUCCCAUGACUGGGAGGACACUUCUUAGGUCCACUAAUCUGUAAUCUGUCUACUGGAGGAGCUUGGAGAUAAACUAAGACUAACUAGUGACUGCUAGUUUGGCAGCUCCACCCAUCAUCUGCAACCAGCUAGAUGACUCGACUCUUGAGAUAAAUAGUGAUCCUGCAGUUCUCUCUCUGUCCAUGUGGAAUGUGGGGUGUAUUGUAAAAUCAGAACAUUAAUCUAACUCACUUUCUUUUCCAAACUUGACUUAAAAAGUGAAUUAAAUCAGUUCAUGUGUUCACCUUUUAACUUUACCUCCUCUAAGAUGUCAUUUCCCUGCUGUUCACCACAGUCUAACAGAUGACACAGAUGUUUCUGACAUAUGUGGUCAUGACUUUCAACACAGCUAAACUGCUAGACUGAAAAGUCAAACACAUUCGCAGUACGAAGGGUUGCGGCACCUAAAGGCUUCAAACAGAUGGUCUGAGUUCUCAGCCUAACCUAACACGGAUUUUUAUCAGCUGUUCGAUUCAUUCCAUAAAGUUUAAAUAAAAUGUUUUAAUGGAAGAUAAAACGGAGCGUAUUAAUCAAUGAAAGGGUAGUGCAUGUUAACUUAAUUUUCAUCAACUACGACGAUAAGGGCAGAGAUGAUAGUAGGGUGGGUGAUACAGAAAAAUAUAUUUUUGAUUUUAUUGUUGACAUGAAUAUGACUUCAGCUACACUAAGGCUGAGACUGUUUUUGUUUGACCUCUUUAGAUGGUCACUCAGUAUGUAACGACUCAUUUUAAUAAUACAUACAGGUAAGAAUAUUCGCUUUUAGUGAGACAUAUUAUUAAAAAAAAGAGUGGGAAGAGUAACUGACUGAAAAAAAAAAAGGAAAAUCAUCUCCUGAAGUCAAACUUUUGCAUAAAUAUACAGUAAAGCACAUAGACUAAUCUCCUGUAAUAGUUUAAUCUCAAUCCCCCAAAUCACAGUUUUAUUCUGCAUGUUUCAUAUCUGACAAAAGUAAAGAAGUUUAAAGUAAAACUGUCUUUGUGUUUACCAUCUUUGCGGUGGACUGCAUGCAUGGUGGACAUUGAGAUGAGGCAUUUGUCUCGUCUGCAGGCUGAACUUCGUUUCUUUAAACAUCCAACAGCAGAUGUUUUAAGUGCGUAUGAUUGAAUUAGCAUACCAACACGUAACGUGCAGAUGUAACCUGAAUGAAUCUCCAGCAGACAUUUAUCCUCAAAGAAACGAUUCAUCUGUAUGAGUGAUGUUAGAAAAAGCUCUCUUGUUGGACCAUUAAAAAAAAACUUCUGCUGUGCUCCAGUUACCUCGAAAGUCGGAUGUCAGAGAUGGGAAUGACGUUACACCCAAGUUGACGGUGUUCCAGUAAACAGGUCGGAAAACCAAGAUGGACGACUACUGUUAGCCGUUGUUAGCGGUUGUUAGUUGUUGUUAGCUAUACCAGUUGUAAACGAAGUGUAACACAGUAUUUUGAUCUUACAAACACCAUAGCACCAGAUGAAUUUCCGACUCUGAGCUCGGAAAUCCCAACUUCUGAGUACAACUGGAAUUACUUCUCCAAUAUUAAGAAUAACAGAGAGAAAUGCUGCUAAGUGCUGUCGGUGUAUUUUUAUAUUUCCUCAUGGUAUAAGUCUCAGACCCUGCCCUCUUUGCUUUUCUUGUGAUUGUGAAAUAUCUGCUUUAAAUCUAUUUCUGCGUCAGUGUAUCUGUGUCUGUUGAGCAUGUCUCACUUCAGCAGCAGACCUCUCAACACAGACCUGCUCCUCCUACAGACCCGUUUUAAUAAAGCACACAAACAUGACUUCAUUAGGUUUUCCGGACUAAAGCUCAGCCGAUACUUCGCCCUUGACAUUAAACAAGAGAAGAUCUUCAUUUCAUGCACGUCUGCAGCUCCUUUACGUCAUUUUCACCUCUGAAUCACAGCCCGCGCUUGUGUGUUUUCACCUUUUUUAAUGGACAUCUGUGUGGGGAAAAAAAAAACCUUAACAUUGUGAGCACAAGUGUAUCUCAUCAUAAGUGGAGUAGUGAGAAGAAGACAAGGGAAAAAACCCCACUCUUGUUCUCUCAGCGAUGAAGGGCUAAGGAGUGAUAAGAAAGAAGCACACAUUUCAUGAUGCGGUUUCUUUAAUUAGUCGCCCUGAGUGUUGAGAAAACAAAGCGGGGAAGAGGAAAAGGAGGAAGAAGACGGAGGGAGAUGAGGUUGUUAAUUCCAAAGCUGUCUGCUUGCAUUUGAGCACUCAUUAAUCUGAGACGGGGCACACCCUGUUGUCUUGCCCAGCAUCUUUUUAUAAAAAACAGCAUUAGCGCUUGUGCUGCAUUGAGAAAUUGUCAGUGAUGUUUUAGAGAGAGAGAGAGAGAGAGAGAGGCAGAGAUGGACGCCUGUAGCAUACUGAGCAUACCUCUGCUCUCUCACAACACUCCAGGCCUCCUUCCUCGCCGCUGAGUGAAUCCGUAAGAGCGGAUCUCCUGGACGGUGACCUUCAGAGUUUGCCACGAACGCCCGAUCGAGUGUGACCACUCCAGCAUCGAAUGCAUCGUUUUCGGCUAAUUGAGUUAUUGUUGGCAAAGACAAACGAGCUUGUUCCAUUUGUUUCGCCAAUAGCGCUGAUGUGAUAUCAGGAGCAAUUUGGACGUAUUUUCUUUUUCCCCUCAAUUAGAGUAAUGUAAUCUAUGUUUACAGAAUACAUCAGCACCGCACACUAAAAAUAUCCAUUGUAAUUGGGAGGCAGACAAUUAAUUUAGCACACAAUAAGUCAAUGGAAAUUGAACAAAGGGUUAUGUUUGUGUCAUUAACUCAGCGCAAUUGGCAAUUUAUAUGCUCUGUGUCGAGCUGCGAACAUCAUCUACACAUGCAUGCAUAUUCAUUACCAUGGCCGCUCAAUUCACAGAGCAAGGAGUCUGAACAAAGGUGAAUGGGAGGCUGAACCCUCUAACCAUCCAUCAUUAUGCCGCCUAGAAGUACUCUGGGAGCCAAGGGUGGUUGCAGUGGAGUGUUUUUAAGUGUGUGCGUGUGCUUUUGGUCGGCGCGCACACAGAGUUUCUCCUCUCUCAAUCCUCUCUGCUCUCCACCUGAGGCUUUGGCAACUCCUCUCCUCUUGGAGCCUUGUCAAUAAUAGCCCGCCACCUCCCUUCUGCCCAGAGGAGAGCACCACUCGGCCGGGUCCAGGGCGCAGCCGGGGCCCCCCCCCCUCUCCCACUGCCAUUAAUCCACUCCUUCGGCAGGCAGAAUCCAUCUCCCCUCGGCACCUGUUUGACAGAGGGUAAAAACAGGGAUGAGAUAGCGGGCCGCGGAUCAAUCCCUUCGAUCCCCUUCUCCAUCACAGCGGUCAUUCAUCAGCCGGUGGUUGUUGUUGUUGUUGAUGUUGGUGUUGUUGUUUGGCCUGACACUGCCCUCGUGCCCACUCGCUGAAAAUAGGGCGGCUGAAUUAUAGCUUUGCACAGAGACGUAUUGUUAUUUCGGACACACUUUUAGGAGCUCCCUUUAACUGUCAGCUGUACGGAUCGUCGAACCCGCCCUUUAUGGAAGUCGUGUGAAAGUCCUUUGACUUAAACGCUUGUUAGUUUCAGACCCUUGUUUACCCUCUGUAUUUGUAGCCUGCGUUAGCCUGCAUGUCUGUGAUCUGCUGAGGAACACAGACUCUGCUGCUCGGCUAUCAUUUGUAUAUUUAUUUAUCACUUCAAAUAAAACACUAAGAACUCACAGGACAACCUAAGAAAUAGUGUUGUGUGCACUUUUAUGUUUAUUUUUUAACCUUGGUUUGCAUCAGAAAAACUAGAUCUGUACAUCAACAUGUGUCUGUUUAUGAGCAUAGAACUGCAGAACAUAGAAUCUGCUCAUACUAGGAUCUCACUUCAUUUGCAGAUAGUUAAUAAACUGUAAACCUUUACCUCUUAGGAGCCAUUCAGAGAUUAAUAAGAUCUAUCUAUCUAUCUAUCUAUCUAUCUAUCUAUCUAUCUAUCUAUCUAUCUAUCUAUCUUUCUAUCUAUCUUUUUCGUUCUUUCCUUCCUUUCUUCCUUCCUUUUUAUUUUCACUUCUUUUGUUUCUUUUUUGUUUGUUUGUUUGUCUGUUUCUUUCCUUCCUUUUUUCUUUCUUUCCUUUUUCCUUCCUUUCUUUCUUUCCUUCCUUCUUUCUUUCCUUUCUUCCUUCUUUCCUUCCUUUCUCUUUUUCUAUCUUUCUUUCUUGUUUGUUUGUUUGUUUCUUUCUUCCUUCCUCCCUUUGUUCCUUCCUUUCUUUUGCCGCUUCCUUCCUUCCUUCCUUCCUUCCUUCCUUCCUUUCUUCCUUAUAUUGUCCAAUCACACUUCCCUACUCUCACUUGUGUUAAACUCGUUGUCCUUACUUCAAGUGGACCACAGACUAACGGGUAAUGGGUUGGCUUUAGGUCUUACUCCCCUCUUGUGACAACUCUUUCAGUAGAUUACCAGUUCAUGAUAGAUAGAUAGAUAGAUAGAUAGAUAGAUAGAUAGAUAGAUUAGGUAUUCUUACCAAAAAUGAAAAAAAAAAAAGUCAAAUCUAGUUAAAAGUUCCUCACAGAAAGUUUAAAUAACAGUAUAGAGACGUAAAGCCUCACAAUAGACACAUUUCAGCCCUCGACCUUCCUCAGAGUUGAAGAGUAUCUGUAACUGAAAUGUGAGAGAUGUGUAAAGAAGGAAGAAGAUCAGGUACCCACCAAUUUGAAGUCAUACUCAUAACAUAUGAUCAGAUAUCCUGAUGUGUGGGUGGAGCCUCACAGAUUGUCACGUGAUAAUGAUAGUCAGGAAAUCAGCUGAUUGAAGAAGGAAUUAAAACAAAAACAGCCCUGGAAACGUCAGUGAAUGUCGAGUGGACUUAGACGGUCAUCAGAAAUAGAAAACCAACAUAUAGAUCAACACAUGUCCUAUAAACAAACUACGACCACAGCUUGCUAUUCUCAUCUUAACACCAUCCCAUUGUCCACCUUAUUUUGCUCUCAGGUCGAGUUUGAUCUUGCGAGGUGUACAGUUGUGAGCGCCGUCUGGUUGUGGUGAAUGGAAUCUGUCAGUAAGUGGUGUUGGUUGUGGUGUUGCUCUGCACACAAUGUGAUAUCACAAAAAUGUGAUAUCAGUCAUUAUUUGUUGUCAAGCACGGGGUCUCACAUUUUCAACUUGAGCCUUUGAAGCUUUUUUUUUCGCCGGGUAAACUAACCUCGACAUUCCAACCAGUGCGGUGCUGCUGCGCCGCCCCCGCUGAUCUAAUAAGCGAAGGAAAGUGCACGGCACACAGAGAAAAGUGCUUUUCAAGUAAAAUGCUCAAAAGGAAAUACAAAGUGCAUGCUAAAAAAAAGAGCCAUGGAUGAUAAACAAAUGCUUUGACUUGACCUUGUCCGCCAGUGCAAGCAUGAAAAGAGCUGUUUGACACUUUUACGACAGUCCCUUACUGUUACCGGUGACAGGCCUGCCGGAAAGAUGUGCGGUUUAUUACGCUCUUAACUGCAUUGUCAGCUUUGAUGAUUCAGAGUUGAUCAAAACUGUAAAAUGUCUUACUAAAUAUGCUCUCCACUACAUCCUCCUCACACAGGCAGAGUAAGGCUUUGGCAGGGGGCUGUUAAAGUUAACAACAGCAAAAACAGCGUAGAUUAAACUGUCAUCUUCCUGGGAGUUGGUAGCGGCUUUGUCCCUGAUGUGUGUCUGGAAUAAAAUCAUCAAGACAACAAGAAGGAUGCAGUGGAGAGGAGACAGUGCACACUUGUUGCAGUCGUUUCUUUUUGUACUUUUUACCCAACAGUAGGGACGGGCGAUAUGGCCUAAAAUAAUUUAUCAUGAUAAGAUUUGCCAUUCUGGCGAUAACGAUAAAAGUCCGACUAUUAUAACUCCAGUCUAUACUUUUGAUUCAUUUAGUCUUGAGAACACCAGUUGGAGUCGUCAAAUAAGAUACUUAACCACAAGUUUACAUGGUAGGUUAUAGAGAAAACUAGUGAUUUCAGUGAAGUCUCAAAAGUGAAAACAUUUUGUACAUUUGUUGAAAACUCUUAUUGCACAGUCUUGAAGGAAAUCCCUCAUGUGGAGCCUCGUUAACCAACGAGCUGCUCAGAAACGUCUUCCUCAUUACCUUUGGUAGGGCUGGGAGAUAAACCAAAAAUUUACAGAUACCGAAAUUUACAACAAUAACCAAUGUCAUUUUGCCCAUAGCGGUAUAAUUGGUUUGUGUAGGUAGGCUAUGGUCUCAUGUCCCUUUAAGACGCUGUCCUACGUCAGAGACGUGACUCCUCCCCAUCCAGUCUGUAACAAAGAGGGAAAGACAGGUGAGGAGAUGGAGGACGGAGAGAAAGUUGGAGCGGCUGAAGUAGACGAAUAUAAUGUGGGAGGGGGUGAGCAGCUUGUGGAGUAGUUAUCGUCCAUUUAUCGUUAUUGAGGUGAACUGAUCAACAUAUCGUGAUAUUGAUUUGAGGCCAUAUCACCCAGCCCUACCCUUCAUCAUGAGAUGGCAAAUAUUUAUCGUGAACAAUGAUAUAUCGCCCACCCCUACCCAACAGAGGUAACUGUUGCAUCAUAUCUUCCUCUGUCAUGUUAUUACAAAUGAAGAUUUUUGUUUUUAACUCGUUCACCGUUCAAGUCGUCGUCUCAGUUCAGUCAUUAAUAAAAGUUGGUGAAAACGUAUUUGCCUUUUGUUGGCAGGAUUAGCACCGCCUUCGUCGCCACAGUUUAUGAUCAGCUUAUCAGUGAAAAACAAGCAAAUUAAAGGACUCUCUUUGAGCCCUGAGAAAUUAUGGAGAGCAUCAUUUUUUGACAUUUUAAAAGAAAAACUAGUUUUUUGUACAUCCUUUGACAGGCUUUAUAAAAAUGACAAGUCUAGAUGAUGAUCCUUUCAAACCAGAACUGCACCAAGAUGAAUCGGCUGCGAAUAAAUAACUUGCCAACUUUUCUUCCCCAAAUAUGUCAAACAUUUCCAGGUCCAGGUUCUCAAUUAUAAAAAGUUAUUUUUUGUCCCCUUUUAAAAAAAAUGAAGAGUCUUAGAGUGUGGAGUUCUCUGUAACUUAAGAUUUUUGGUAUUUUAUGUGCUGACAUUUCUUUGGAGCAUACUUCAGUUUGAAUGCUGUUUAUGAAAUAAUGAAGGGUACAUCAUGUGAUUCAGGUAGAUCAAUCAAAAAUGAAAAUGAUCAGUGGUUGUAACCGGAACAUAAACACUAAUGCUCACAAAUUUAAUGUAUUUUAGAGAAAAGAAUAGUCAGACUGUUGACUCUUUGUUCAUUUAGAGGCUAAUCUUUGCUCGAAAUCAUCCUGCUCAAAAGCCCAACAGCAUCAAACCCUCAGAGUUGAAACUCCCGAUGAUUUUCUUCACAGGCAGACUGAAGGAGAAACUCUCCCUUUAAGAGAGGAGGUGCUCUGACUUGUAUUAUGUUUGUGUUUGCAGUAACCCGUACGCCCUAAUGUUCCUGUCCCUGCCACUUUGCCCCUUUCCUUUAAUGAUACACAACUCUGUGUUGUGCGGCUCCUGCUGACAAGUUGGGAAGGCAGCUUUGAGGUUUGUCCUUUGUGUGUCCCCAAUAACACUGACUGCAGCUUCAGAGUGAUUGGUAAGGGGCGGGGCAGCGGCUCACCUCCAACCUUUCUUCAAGGUGGGAGUCAGAAGAAAUGAUAGAUAGUUUGAGUCAAAAAACAAUCGAUUCAAAUGUAAAGACUCGUCAAAAACGAAACCCUGAACAAACAACUUCAAGGACUUCCUUGUUUGGUAAAUUAAAGGACAACUUUGAACAGAUUUCACUUUUUGGCAUGCAGCUAGACGGCAGAGAAACCAGACCACUGCAGACAGUUAUUUGUUUUCAUGUAAACUGACUUGCUUUAAGAAACUCCAGUCCUAAUGUCAGUGUUUGUACGCUCUACUUAGAAAUGUGUUGGUGCUUUACCUCGCCCUCAGAAAACCCGUUUGUUUUUGUUUUUGUAAUAUUCUUGUGCAAAACACUUGAGUUCCUCUUCUUGCAGUGAUCAGCUGUUCAGGUCUAUUAUACAGAAGUCACAGACGUUUCAUGAAUUUUAUAUUUCUUUUCACUUUGACAUUAUUUCCAUCAAGUAAAUGCUGACUGUAAUCUUACUGUAGAGCUCUUCUUUUAGCUCAACUUAAUUUGAAUCUUUCGCUUCGAUUGUACCAGCAUGUAGAAACAAAAUGUUGUCUUCGCUUUGAAACUCUGAGUUACGGUAAUGGAGAAGGAUGCAAAUAGGGCUGCACGAUAAAUCAAUUUUAAAUUGUAAUUUUAUUAUUUCAUUAUGACGAUGUUAAAAUAAUUAAAAUCCUCAAAUCGAUUUUCCUCUCUAUCAUGUCUCGCACCUCCAGGCCACCGUAGGCUACAUACACCAGUGUAAACAAACAUGGCGUGGCUAAAUAGGACAAGAGCGAGUCAGUCGUGUUGAAUUGGUACGACUUCACAGUUUCAGAUGAAGAGCAAACCACUCCCAGCUGCAAAGUCUGUCUGAAGGCGGUAUCGGCCCGUCACCACGGAAACUAAUUCAGGAGGAAACGCUAAAGUUUUCCGUCGUAUCCGCAUUUCAUCCACAUGGAAACGGCGUUUCAGGUGACUGUAAACGAUACUUUUUGAAAACGGGUCAGAGAGUGAAUAAAUCUGUAAACAACGACCAUUUCAUCUCCGUGUGGAUGUCUAUCUGCAUCUGUGGAAACGAUCAUGUGACACACAUCGUAACUCUUUUAUGGCGCCAAAAAAACCUUUAUACACAUGCUUUGUACUCUUCUUCUGUCUUUGUUGCAUUUCCUGUGCAGCGUUACAGCGCCACUUAACAGCUUGGCAUAUGUACUACAUCAUUUUCAGUGGUUUUGUUUUGAGAGAUGAUAGAAAAAAAUUUGAUUAAAGUGAAGUUUGGUGAAGUUGUCACUGAAAAAAAAUAUUAAAAUCUAAAAUAGAGUUUUCAGAAAAAAAAGAGAAAUUAUCUUUGGUCAAAAUUGAGCAGCCCUAGAUGUAAAAAAUAGAAACUGCAUUGAUACAUUAAACAUUCACUAUGAAGUUUAAAUUUAAAGAUUUGGAUUUAAUUUGAAGAUGCAGGGUGAAUUUUGAUUAAGACUGACACUCAUGUAGACGUUUGCAUCGUAGUUUUCUUAAAAUGAACUAAAUUGUGUGAUAAAGGUGACCUCGUCUGCGGUGAUUGAUGGCCUAUCUUUGGUGACAGUUCUCUAAACGGUGUCUCACUGAGCUGACUGGGAUCCCCCGCAGGUGCUACACUCAGUAUUGACAGGAGCCUCAAUUAACCCCACUGCAAGUAGAAACAGAGGAUCCUUCAAAGACACUGGGUAGUAUAGAUAUUCAUCAAAUGUAUGAGGCAGCGGGCACGCAAAAAUAAUCCAGAAAAGUUCAGAUUUGAUUAAAAGACUGGUGCGGUAACCUUUAGGGAGAUCAUUCUCCUGCUUGUUGCUGUGCACAGUGGAGCACAAAGGGUCGACCACAUCUUACAGAUCUCAAGGGCUGCUCGGUUUCACAAAAGCAUCAGUCCUCCUCCUGCUGCACGUCUUCAAAAAAGCGAGAAGAAACAGCUGCAGCCGAGGCUGUGCCACACACAAUCCAGGGUGACUAAAGAGGCUGUGAACUCGAGAUAGGAGCCUUUGUUGGUGGGAUGAAAGGGAGCAUUCAAAAUUCACAAAAAAAACCUUCACGAUACAAGUGAGGCCUACUUAACUUUAGAGAGGAAUUAAUGAAAGGCAUCAGAGUGGCCUUUAUUCUCUGGCAUGAUGAAACCAUCAGAAGGGGGACAGGACUGCUCAGAGAAAGGCUAGCCAAGAGUCCUCGAUGAGUAUCAGGUCUAGAAAACCCAACAUGUUGCUGUUAUAGGAGAGAUUUUAAAUGUUGGAGUUAAUUUAAAGCUGCCAUCGUUUAAUACUCGUAAAAUCAACACAAGAGUCAAUCCAAUUAAGAACCAGCAGCCAUCUUUCCAAACUUUUCUCAGGUUGAAUUUGAUAAUUUGUGUUAGGGCUGGGCGAUAUGGCCUCAAAUCAAUAUCCCGAUAUAUUGAUCAGUUCACCUCGAUAACGAUAAAUGGACGAUAACUACUCCACAAGCUGCUCACUCCCUCCCAGAUUAUCUUUGGCUACAUCAGCCGCCGCUCCAACUUUUGAACUGUCCUCCAUCUCCUCACCUGUCUUUAAUAAUAAUAAUAAUAAUAAUAAUUUUAUUUGUACAGCGCUUUUAAAAACACUCAAAAACGCUUUACAUAGUACAUAAAACCCAAGGUAAUAAAACAAAGACAUAAAAACUGUAGAAAUAAAACAGUUAAAUGUUAAAAGCAAUUUUAAAUAAGUGAGUUUUUAAAAGGGAUUUGAAAGUAGUGGGGUCAGGGCAGUGUCUGAGGGUAGGGGCAGCUGUGGAGAAUGCCCACUCCCCCUAGGUUACGGGGGGGUGCGUGAGGCUGGAGCAGGUCGGUGAGAUAAGGGGGGCUUGAUGAUGAAGGGCUUUGUGGGUGAGAAGGAGGAUCUUCAACGUGAUGCGGGUUACCUCUUUGUAACGGACUGGAUAGGGUGGAGUCACGUCUCUAAGGACAUCGUCUUAAAGGGACAGGAGACCAUAGCCUAUCUACACACAUCCAAAACCAACUUGACACCAAAUAUACCAAUAUGGGCAAAAUGACGUCGGUUAUUGUCGUAAAUUUUGGUAUCUGUAAGUUUAAGGUUUAUCGCCCAGCCCUAAUUUGUAAUAUUUGUGCAAAACGCUUUAUAAACCUUCCUUCAGUCCAUUUCUUUGGGUACAGCCAGAGAUGCAGAGAGGGAGAGAGGGAAAGAACUGGCUUCUUCUGAUCAGCAGAGUCCUUUGAAAUAUUACUAUAACACAUAAAAGCUGUAUAAAUAUUUAAAUUUCGAGGGUUCAUGGCAUGGUUAAGUAUUUGUUUGUCCUCUGAGUUUUUUUCGUACUGUAAAAACAUCAGUGUACUGUCUUUGAUGUUUGGAGAACCCUGUGAUCCAAUGUUUUCUACUCAGAAAUUAGUUAUACACCAAUUUAAAGGCUGAUUUAUAAGUUAGCCCCAACGGCAAGACAGUAUUUCCACUUUUAACUGAGAGACCUCGCAGUUUCCUCAACUAUAGUUAGACAUGGAAGAUGUUGAUUUUCUGGUCCGACCUGAAAGAUAAUAAUAUAGAUGUGAUCCUCCAGAGUCAAUAGUGAGAUCAAAUAUUGAAGGUACACAGGUUUAUGGUGGAGUCAGACCAAAGAGAAAAUGUUGAUCACAAAUUCACCUGUGUGAUAAAGAUGGCUGCCCUCCGACAUGUGUACUGUACCCUUACUACUUCUAGUACAGAAUAAAGAGUCUUAUCUGAAUUGAUAAAGUCUGUAAUAUGUUUAUUUUCCAGUUUCACAUCCUGUAGGGGUGGGAAUCACUAGUGGCCACACAAUAUGGUUAGUCCUGUAAUCAACCAAAGAAAUCUUUGGUCAAACCACCAGACGUUGAUUGAUGUGGACGUGGGUUGGGCAAAUCCAAAAUGGUGAAAACAAGGGGGGGAGGUUCUGAGACAGGCUGUUAACUGUGAAAAGGGGGUGCUCUGAAAACAACCCCAUUGGCACUUGGUACAUUCCUCCUGAUGAAAUUAACCAUUGACUGUAAAUUGACGAGGAAAAAAAUCGAGUUGACCAAUCAGAAUUUUAGACGACUCAGCACAUAUCAACCAAUAAGUUGACCUGUGGACUAGGACUUUGCAGCCCUAGAGACGAUAUUAUCACGAUACUUGGGCCAGGAUACGAUAUUAUCACGAUACUUGGGCCCACGUUACGAUAUUAUCACGAUACUUGGGCUAUGAAACGAUAUUAUCAUGAUACUUAGGCCCCACGAUACAAUAUAAGUGCGAUUUUUAACAUUUUGUAAUCCAGUAAGUAUUGCGAUACAAUAUAUUGUGAUUUAUACAAUAUUUUGAACUGUUUAGCCAAUUUUAGCAUUUGUCUUUUCUUUAUGUAUUUUAUUUUCAUGUAGCACAUCUUACAAACCUUAUCUAUCUUUGUCGUACUAACUUUCUCCUGCUCUACGAUGUUGAUUUUAUUUUUCCAUUAUCAUAGAUUUGACUUCAUAUUAACAAUUGAUUUGAAAAAAUCGAUACUUGGUCAAUGAGACGAUACGAUAUAUCACCAGACAAAAUAUCGCGAUACUCUGCUGUAUCAGUUAUGUUCUCCCACCCCUCACAUCUUGUUUACCAGUCAUCCUGAAUCAACAAACUGAAGCUUCAACAAGCUUAUAGUGUCCAAAUGAACGAUGAUUUGUAAGAUUUUACAGCAAGAGUAGGCGGUUAUAUUCAUCCUUGACCUGAGACACACUUUGGAGGUUUUCUGCUUUCAAACUUGAGGCCAACAGCAGCAGGAAGAUUACGUUGGUGAUCUUGUUUUUUCCUUACGCGUUGCACAGAAAUGAACAACAGUCGACGGUGUCUUUGAGGGUAUGCCAAUGUAUUUGAAGAGCCAUACUUUCAGUAUGUUCUUUUUGUGCGGCGAUGUCGAGUGUCUGUGGAGUCUGCUUUAUGCAUGCUAAACCUCUGGUGUCUGAGAUGCCCUUGCGCGUCUGAGUGGGCCAUCAUCACGCUCGGGUGUGAUGUGCAGGCUUUCACAGCGUGCUCUGGGUAAGGUGAGAAAAACUGGGAAGUGCUAUGAUGUACUAUAUCAAGAAGAGAGAGCUCCGAGGGCUGCUUUGAGCCCUGAGAUGAGAAAGAUGACAGUUCAGAUGAAAGUGUUUCACUGUAUUGAAAUAAAAGUUCUGAAUAAAACACACGGUGACACAGAGUUUUAAAUUUACAAUAAGAACUGCAGGUGGUUCUGGGGUUUCAUCCUGUUUAUUUGAGGACCAGAUGAAACCCACAAAGCAGCAUAAAUUCUGUAGAGCGUUGUUCACUGGAGGCUAAAUCACGGUUAACGUUAGUUGGCAAGUGGACCUUUAAGAGUGUCAUGACGUCCUGUUUUAGCUUCUGGGAUUCAAGCUAGGCAUGCUAUGGGGUCUGAUCCAGUUCUUUGUAUCCCAGCAGUGUUUUCCCUCCGCUCUGUAGCUCCAGAAGAUCAUUAUUUCGUAAAAGCAGUAUGUUACCCUGCUUUUAAUGACUGGAAAAGUCUUGUUUAAGUCGUGACAGACUUGUUGGUGUCAGUGAUAAAAGGUGUGAUUGCUUCAAUAAAGAAAGAGCGCGCUAAACCCCGAGGAUUGGAGUUAAAUAAUUGCACCAAUAACUUUCGCUGAAGUUUGCCUCUCUCUCUCUCUCUUCCUUUACGAUUUAUAUGCUAACCGUGUCCCAGAGGGUCCCUCCCUUUUCUGUUUAAUUUCAGCCAUCCCUUUUUAAUCAAUUUUCUUUUAUCUCACUGCAGUUUGAAUGCACAUCCUAUUCUAUUUAAUUUUUUCAAUCAAGGGUACAUGUGUGUGAAGCAUCAGUGAUUUAUUGAAAAAGGGACCCCGAGAACACGUCUGCGCGGAUUAAAGAGUCUCUCACCCAGAGAAGAUUAUGUUUUCUCAGAGUAAGUGAACGCGACGCUCGGUGCGGUUCAUCGGCUCAUGAGGUGAAAGUCAAAAGAAACACUCUUUCCUGAUGGAUGGAGAAGGACCGGGCAGAGCCGGGCAUGCUGCAGGCAGGGGAGUGAGAAUCAAAAUACAAACAGGAAACGCAGAGAGAGCGGACAAGCUCGGGAUAAAACCAGCUGAUUGGUAGUCAGAACAGAGCAGGACAGACGCAGCCUCGCUGUUUUGAUAACAGGUUACCGUGAGGAUGGCGCACACACACACACACACACACACACACACACACACACACACACACACACACACACACACACACACACAGCAGGGGUCUCAUUUAUAAACAGCAUGUACUAAAGAUGUAGAUUUCAUGAUCGGUCCUGACCAAGAUUUUUCUCAUGACAUAACGACAACAAACAGUUUUUUUUAACUGAGUCAUGUUUAUUCCCGUCACUAUGGCAACGCUAGUGGAUGUCCUGAAGUGCACAAAUGGUUAAAACACUAAUUAUCAACAUGAGGAGCAGGCGCCUGAAAAUAAGUGAUCAAAUUUUAAAUAUGAUUUAGAUUUUGGCUUCUUACGAUCAUCAAGACAUUAUAAUAAAAAAAAUAUAUAUUAAUGCAGCGCACGGUGUGUGUCUAUAAGUUCCUGUGCUGGAAAAACACUUUUAAUGCACCCCUGUUACGUGUAGCUGCGGCAAACAUGUGACGUUUGUGGAUCAAUAAUAUAAUGAGCGAGCGAUUAAAAACAUGGCAGCAAGGCGGCAUUUGGUUGAGAAGAAAGGAAGGACAACUUCAGUCAUCUGGAAACAUUUUGGCUUCAAUUUGACAGAUGUCGAGUAAAAGGAACUUUGCAUUUCUGUUGUGCACUUUGUGCUUCAUUUCCUCUCGUUUGGAAAGUGCUUUAUAAAUAAAGUUUGAUUUUAUUUGAUUUGGAAAUUGUUCGCAAAGUUUUUCAUGCUGUCGUUUCUGCUCCCCGAGGAAACACGACCAACUUCAGGGUUUCUUCUUUCUGCAGUUGAUCUUGGCUCAUCGUCACGGCUUAAUAAAAGCUGGCACACCUUAAAAAUUAGUUCAUUUAUUUAUUGAUUUAUUGAAAGUGGCUCUAACUCACUCAUAUGUAUCAGUAUUUGCGUGCGCACAUGAGCGCUGCACAGCAGAGCAUGCGCGCAUGCCGAGUAUUAGCAUAAACAAGUAUUUGUCUUCGAUCAUUACAGAGCUGAUUAAUUACAUUUUUGUACUUGUUUACUUGUUACUAGUUUAUUUCUGGCUGUUCUUUUAGUUUAUAUUCAAAGUUAAUUUUUGGUGGUUCAAUAAAUAUUCAAGUUUCAAAAUCAAUGAAUAAUCGUGUUCAUUAAUCGUGUUUUAAAUAUCAUUCAAAAUAAUUGUGAUAAUUGUUUUUGCAAUAAUCGUUCAUCCCUAGAAAUUGUCAUACAGAACUGGACUCAGACUUAACGUAGAUUUACUGAAACAGAAGAACGACAACAAUAUACCAACAAAUAUUUCAGACUCACAGUGUCCAGUUUUUUUACACGUGUUCUUAUGAUGAGAAAUAAGUUUGUCUACAUGUUCGGGUUUCUUUACUUUUUCUGCCUUUUCUGUUGUUGCUGCGAUUUACUGUGAGAACUCCUGAUGCUCUGGCUCAACUGAAUAGAUUUUCAUUUAAAUGUUUUGCAUCGAGCAUUAAUAGAUAAAUAUGCAUGUGUAGUAGGAGGAAUACAAAGCUGCUCUAUGAACGAUUACAUUAAUCUGAAUUUUCAGAGCAUGCCACUGUCAGGUUUUUGGAGUACAUCCACUUUGGUUUGUUUUUUCAUUUGGAGAAACAGGUCUGUGAAUGUACUGACUGUGACCGUCACAGAAAACAUCAUUCAAAUAAUCGGUAAAGCUGCACAAACUGCAGCCAUGCAUCGCGGUACUCUGUGUGAAGAGAGUCUAAAGCGUCUAAUGCACCUGCCUAAGUAUCCUGUGUACCAGGAGUCAGGGGGGAUCCUCCAGGGUCCGUUUAGGUGAAGUAUUUAGACUCCUCCUGACUUGGGCGGAGGCAGCAGCAGCAGCUUACAUGAAGACACUCAGGUUGUCCCACAUUUGGUUGGGGGGCAAACCACCCACACUCGAUUCAGUUCCUUCCAGUAAUGAGCGCUGUCUCAUUUGACCCAUUUAGUGUAACAUUAUGCUUACCCAGCUGGUACCAUUUCAGCCUCCGAUGCCCUCCCCUGCCAUUUCCUCCCAAGCAAAAACUACCCAGAAGAGAAAUUCAAGACACUGAUGAACAGACAGGCUGUUAAUAACCCUUCAUAUCAAACCUGCACAACAUUAACCCCCCUCUACCUUCCUCUCCUAAUCGAGGUGCCGGAGUCCCAUUUGCUGUGCAGCAGCUGCAGCAGCAGGCCACCUCUGAUCUGUGUGACCCCCCGAGAGAGGAGACCGGCAGCCUGGCUGCCUGUGGAGGACACAAAUCGGCCUCCUUCAUGUGCUGAACCCUGCCCUCUGCACUCAUUACUGCUCACGUUCACCUACCAGGAGGGUUUGAACCUGUUGGACACAUUAGAGAGGAGGAUAUCUGAGAUUUCUGUUUCACGCUGAAGAAGAAAAACAGUCUUUCCCUACUUGAAUUUCACAGCAGCGUGUCUUUGUGUUUUGGGUAAUCAGCUUCUUCUUCAGCAGCUCCAAACUGGAGGACUUCUCUGUUGUGGAGAAGAGUUAAUAAACAGCUCUCCGGUGUGUCAGCCGCUCUAAUUACCUUCAGGAUGACUCAUUCCACAGUCGGUUAGAUUGAUGUGUGUUUUUUCCAUCAUGUAAAAAAAUACAGUGCAUCAACUUGAUAAGAAAUGUCCUGCAGCACCCCGCUGGAAUCCAAUUCCUCUGCAAAGUUAACUAUUAAUGAGUAACAAUAAACAACUCUGAGAGGUGUUUAUUUGCUCUGAGGACCAGUGUUCACUGCUUUAGUCGUUUGGUUUCAGGGUUGUGAAAUGUUCCUACAUUAUGGAGUUACCAGCCACACCAUAAAACAGGGAGACACGGCAGCGCUUUGGGACGUAUAAGACAUGAGUUUGGAGUCUUUGCAUUCGAGUGCAGGAGGUCUCUGAAACUUUGGUGUCAAACACAUGGCGGCAUCACAAACUCAAUACUCUGACUUCAUAAAUCUAAAAUUUAUUACAGACCAAAAUAAACAUGGAUAUUAAAUCGUAAUGUGCAUGAAAUGUUUAUAUUUUAUUAAAUCCAAAAUACAAAAAGGGAAAAAAAUACAAUUAUUCUGUGUUAUAUCAGCGUUAUGUAUCAACCGUCAGCCAACCUGCUUUCUUAUUAUUGACAUUAGCAUUAGCCAAAUACAAACGUCAAUAGUGGAAAAACACAGACUUCUGAGAUUUGACUUGCUUUGACUUACACUGUCGUCUCCAUCGGUACAGCUUUGUUCAUGUUUGCACUUCUCACAUGAUUGAUGGAUUGUUUGCUCUGAGAGAGAGAGAGAGAGAGAGAGAGAGAGAGAGAGAGAGAGAGAGCACAGGAGGAGCGACAUGUUCUUACAGUAGAUGAUUUGUCUUUAUUUGUUGUUUUUAUUUUACUGUGCAGCUCUUUAGAAACCUUUGUGUUUAUUUGAGGUGUUCUUUACAAUUAAAAUGGAUUGGAUAAACUAUAAUGAAUGUUAUCGACGUACUUCAGGCUGCAGCUAUCAACUAUUUUAGUAAUCGAGUAUUCUACCGAAUAUUCCAACGAGUAAUUGGACAAAACGUAAUUUUUCUUGGUUAAAGUUCCUGUAAAGAACUUUUAAUUAGGUUUCUCAUCAUUAUUUUUCUCCUCCUUCUGCCGUGGUCACUUAAGUGCAUUGUGUCACCUUGAAAAUAAUCUGUGUUAAACAGUGACGAUUUGAGUUCAUAGAGGAGAACUCGAGGCAGAAAAUAUUCCUCGAUCAUUUUUUGUAAUUGAGGUACUCGAGGAAUCGUUUCAACCCUACAACAAACGCCGUAGUGACUCACUUCCUCCAAUUAAGUAUUUUCCCUCUGUUAAACGUUGUCACUAGAUGGCGCCCUUGCUUACUUAUUUUACUGUGCUGUCAAAGUUUGUUCUGUGCGUACAGAUGUGACAUUGCUAUGCUGUAUGUACGCCUUGUUAUUGGAGGAGCAGACACGACACCUGUGGUUAGAGUGUUAAUAAUAAAACCUCCUGUACUGACCUCAGUAAAUGAAGAGGGAAGACCGAUUCAGGUUACAGAGUCAAGAUCGGAAUAAGUGUUUACAUGGACGAAGUUUCAGAAGAACGAUCGGAAUAAACCACCCCUCUCUAUCGGAAUACAAUUACUUUCCGAUUGAGCCGAAUUUGAUCAGGAUCUUCCGAUCGACAUCUUUACAUGAUGCAUUUUAAUUUUUGAUUAUUUGUGCCCAUGUAAACGCAGCUAAUGUUAGAUCUGGAUCUGAGCUCGGGUAGUGUAUCUCACCAUAAGACAUUUUUCUACUUAAAGCACCACUAGAGGCACUUCCACUCUGUGCAAAGUCAAGAAAAGCCCAUGAUGGCGCUCCCCUUCAGCUGUGGGCGGAGUUAGAGUGCGCCGUGCCUCUAGUGCAGAUGUACUUUAUUUUUGAUCCAGGCAUCAGCAUAAAAAAUAGGCUGAAAAUGACAGGGACUUCACUUUGCAAGAGAAGGUGGUAAGUAGAGCAGCGUCACACCCGCAGAGCUGGAUUUAUUCCACAUUCAGGUUGUCCAGCUGUGCAAGCUCAAACAAAGCCCACUUCAUCAUAAUGGAGCUCUGUCACAGUGGAUUGAAGGCCCUUGUAAUGAAUAAUUAUAGCAUGAGGAAGGAACAUGGCAGAAUACAAAACAAAGAGGGAGCCAGGGGAGGGGGGCUCUGUUGAGAAAACAGGUGUGUGACAUGAAUUAUACAUCCCCAGAAAUCCUCAAUACUACUGAUGAAUUCAUUUCACACCGACUCCAGGAUGCUGAUGUUUGCAGUCGCAAACUGAGUCCUGUUUGGUCGAUGAAUCCAAGACACGUAAAGAGCUAAAGGAGGCACCAAGACGGAUCGACUGUAGAGACUGAUUUCCAGGAACAUGACACACUUUUAUUAGAAAUAUAUGUAUUUUUUCUUUUAUCGCAGACAUGUCAUCUUUUUCCUCAGAAGUGUCACUUGGUGUUUGAGAUGAGAAUCGAUAAUUGGUUUUUUUUUAGAGUGAUUCUUUUCCCAGUGAUUCGAUUCCUAAGAAUUGUUCGUCUGCCUCCUUGACGAUUCUGCUUAUCGGUUCCUCUUGUGCGUGAUGACGUAGUUCACAAGAAGUGUGUUUUAGUUCAGAACUUUCCAGCAUGAUGUCGAGGCAAAAUCACUCCAGAGUUUGUCUGUAUUUCAUGUGAAAAGAUAAUAGCGGGGCGACUCGCAUCACUUGCAAAGCUUUAAUUUCGUCAAAGGGGGGAAAUACCUCUAAUAUGCAGAAACAUUGGUCCAUCAAGCAUGCAAAUAAUUCGCAGAAGUGUAACGCGUUUGAUACGCUACUUAGCGAAGGCGAGACUGGUACAGAGAAAAGCAGGAGCAGAGCUAACGUCUUGGUGUUGAAGGUAACUUUUAACUCCUCCAGGUCCUGUCUGUUAUGUCGAUGUUUGCGCCAUUUUAACCCCUUUCACAUUAUAAAUACUCUCCAUUUCCUAAAUUACAUCUAGAUGACGAUGACUGCCAGAGUCAUGCUAGCUCAGAGGCUGCAGCAGGUAACUCUUGCGCACCUUUAGCAGCCCCUUUUAUCAAGGCAGGAAAGAGUAAAAUGAGCGAGGUGAAGACAAACGAAUGUCACCGAGCUGUGAGCAGAUUUAAGGUCAAACGUUAGGGUCACAUAACAAAUGAUUAGCGCAUAGAUAUGCUAAACCUUCCAUCCAAAGGUGGCAAUAUUAAAGAGUUGAUGGAAACAAACCCAUUUGUAGUGUCUUUUUUCUCACUCAGUGAGAAUCGAUAAGGAAUCUUAUCGAUAAGCAGCAUCGAUCAUGGAAUCAGAAUCGCUUAAUUCUUAAUAAUUCCCAUCCCUACUUGGUGGUAGGUGUGACACGUCAUAUUAGCUAAGGAGGCAUCACCCUCCUGUUAAUUUUUUUGACUGGAUGGUCACACCUCCUGCUGUCUGUUCGCCUCUGCAGGAAGCUGCUCCAGGUUUGUGAGGGAGCAUGUACUAGGGCUGGGCGAUAAAACCAAAAGUUACCGAUACCAAAAUUUACGACAAUAACCGACAUCAUUUUGUCCAUAUUGGUAUAUUGGGUGUCAAAAAAAUAAAUAAAAGUUGUUUUUGGAUGUGUGUAGGUAGGCUAUGGUCUCAUGUCCCUUUAAGACGCUGUCCUACGUCAGAGACGUGACUCCACCCCAUCCAGUCUGUAACAAAGAGGGAAAGACAGGUGAGGAGAUGGAGGACGGUUCAAAAGUUGGAGCGGCUGAAGUAGAGUAGAGUAGAGUAGAGUAGAACUGCUCAAUAUAUCCUGAUAUUGAUUUGAGGCCAUAUCGCCCAGUCCUAACAUGUCCGCCCCCUCAUUCCUGUUCAUCGUCCCGUCUCCACACAUUAAUGUCGUGAUGCAGUUCAGUGAUGGCGUCCACCUUAGGGUUACUUUGUUAAUUAUUCUACAUAAAGCUCAAUUAGCGAGCACACAUGCACUGAAUGCCUACGCUCCCUUUGCUGUGCAGAGAUCCUCUCUCUGUUGAUUACAUUCAAACACACAUUUAAAAAGAACACACACACAUACAUCAGCACACACACACUUGACUCUCUGUGGUGUCCUUGCCCGCAGCCAUGCACCCUGCACUGGGGGGUCGCAGAGGUGGGAGCAACAAGCCGUGAAACAGGGACUUCCAGCUCAACAGUUGUACUGGCCUCUGACAUCCCCCUCUGGCCCUGGUAAUAACUUGCUGCUACUCCAGGACUGAGAGGGGACCGGCUUUGACUUUUGAAGAAUGAUGACCCAACAAUGUUUUGUGUCCCAGGAGUGAGUGGGUUGGAAAGAGAGAGCAGAGAAAGUCCCCAAAAGGACUGAAUCAUGUCCAGUGAUGGCGAGAUAAACCCCUCCAGCUCUGUGGUUUCACUUUUUGACUUAAACUGGAUCAUUAAAUGUUCACUGAGGUGCAGGAAAGUGGUUUACAGGCACAUUAAAAACCUAACUGUGAAAUUAACAAUCAAGAGUGGGAAUAAAAAUCAGAUUUAAAGACGGCCCAUGUUUUGAACAGCUGGCUACAAAAAGUGCCGAUUUGAGAAAACUCAUGAAGCCGGCUGAGAUAUAAUCAGAAGGACAAAGGACGUCCAGUCCAGACAGGAGAGGUCUCAGCAUUUGGACGGAUGUACUUGCACACAGAUUUUUGCGUAUAGAGUAAAAAUGAAGCUUAAUUGGUGUUGGAUGACUGUUUGAUGGCAGCUGUGAUUGCAUUAUGACCACCUCUUUUUCUUUCCAAAUGGACAGUUUUUUCUGUGCACAGACAGAAUCUGAAUAACAAUCCUCGGACUACAGAUGGGAGCCAGAACUCUUCUGAUAGACAAAGUUGUGCCAUAUGUAUGUGGAUCCGGUCACUUUGUACUGAAUCACUGUGGAGAAUCUGAAACCAGUCAGUUUUGAGCUCAAUACAUCAGGAUGACUGAGUCUGUUUCCAGAGUGUGGAUAACUUUAGUGGAGCUACCACAACCAGGGGCCUGUUCUACGAAGCAGGAUUACUGCUUAGCGAGGUAACUCCGAGGGUAAGUUCGGGGUUUCCUGUUCUACGACGCGGGUUCACUUCUUAGCGAGGCGAGUCUCCAUAGCAAUAUAUGCUGAACGGCUAACCUGCUCCGGGGCAGGUUAAGUUCCAGAUUGAACUCAAAGAGUAUAAAAACCCCGCCCACUGACCAAUGAGCUCUCUCGAAAAACGGCUUGUCCGUUCUUGGAGGAUCCUAUAGACCUCGGUGCUCGCAUUGUUCGAGGAGGAGCACUCCGGCUCGCGAGAGUUUUCAGGGAGAGUUUUCUCCGGAUGACCGCCUUUAUGGAAGGCUCAUAUGGCCGACAUAUUACACAAAACAUGUAAACACGAUAGGAAUGAACAAAUGAAUGAUUUAUCUUGGGAAUGAAUGGGCAUGGGCUGCGUGAUCAACAUCUCGGUACUAUUUAGUAGCAGCGCACGCCCCUUAUAAUAACCCCGUAAAUACUGUUGUUCAGGACUGCUAACUUGUGCUUCCUACCCACUGUAACAACCGUUGUUCGAGCCCACAUGCAACAUUUUUGUUCUCAUUCAUGAAACGCUUAAAUCAGGGACAUUUUCGGGGACAGCUUUAGCCGGGGACAGAUCAUCCAAUUCGGGGACUGUCACCUUAGUUAAAAGCGCAUGUUGAACAGUGCUAUUUCAGGGUGAGAAUGGCAUCAAAGAUUACUUUUCUGCCAGCCUUCCCUCCGUGCUUUUGCAGCGGCGACGGUGUUGCUUUUGAGGUUUAUGGUAGCUUUCAAUUCUUCAUACUUUCUCAUGAUCGUCUCCUGCUCCUCGUUUGUAAAGUCUGCGGUCCUUCACUCUCCAGCCUGCUCUGACGCUCCAGACUGAUCCAUGUUCGCGAUUGGUCAGAUGCGGCGGGCUCCGCCUUAUAUAUGUGCACGCGCUCAUAGCAGAGCUGGAUCCACUUAUGAGGUUGAUAACCAGCGUCGUAAAACCGCUUAGCGAGACCGCUGGCCACCACGCUAAGUUGAGCGAGGUAGCUCCAAGGCUACCUCGCUAGGUUGAACCUGCUUCGUAAAACAGGCCCCAGGAGUGGAAGAUGGCUGUCCUCCAUGAGUCUGGUUCUGCUCGAGGUUUCUGCCUGUUAAAGGAAGUUUUAAAGGAAGCCAAGGCUGUCUCCCAUACGGUUAAAGAUGUGAUGGGAGCGGGUCUGAUAAGACAAAAUGAGGCUGAGUCUGAUGCUGCGUUUUAGUUACCUUGGAAGUCGGUUGUCAGAGCAGGGAAUGACGUUACACCGGAGUUGAUGGCAUUCCAGUGAACAGGUCGGAAAACCAAGAUGGACGCCUACUGUUAGCCGUUGUUCCCGCUCGUUUUUCUCGUCUGAAUGUUACGGUAUACUGUCCCCUUGGAAUCUGUAAGCCUUUAUAAGUAGAUGAACGCAACAUUUAACAAACAAAAAUUCAUAAUUAGAACAAUGAACAAUAAUGAAAUAGUUUUCUUACUCAUAGCCUCCAACUUCUUAAACUGCCACCAACACAAGAAGCUAAACUCGUGCUGAUUCUGAUGUGAUUAAAAGUCAUUAUAUGUGUUUCAUUUACGGUUUAAUUUGAAGAUGACGGCGGUACAAAGUAAUGUGAGCGGAGUUUGAGUGGCAGAUGUGAGAUCAAUGAUUCAUAUUUCUUCUUCCUUCACCUGCUCAGAUUAAGGUGAAAGUGUAAUCUUGAACGCUGUAAUUGGUUGCCUUUCACUCGCUCUUAUGCUGUGAUUUGAUCAUUUCUACACAAUCCCGAGAAAAAUCCCCGUCUUGUAAUGUCAUGUGGUUUCCAGGAUGGAUGCCUUUAAUCCGUCUUAUUGUUGGAUUGUGCAGAAACCUCAAGGCUGGUGUAAGCAUAUGUGUGUUUGUGGGUGUAUUUAUGCACAUGUGCACCCUCCAAGGACAUUAUGCCGUCUGGAGCUGUCUCCCGUCUUACCUUCGCCAUCCUUUGCCCGUCCUUGACAGAUCGCAUGGAUAUUGGCUGCCUGCUUAAGAAAUAACACCUCCCGUCAAGUUGAUAGAGGAGCUCCGAGGAGCUGGCUCCUCUUCCUCUCUCUCUCUCUCUCUCUCUCUGGGAUGUUUACAUCCAAUCCUCCAGGUCGCCGUCUCAGCAGUGAUCAUGUAUUCAGUGGGGAUUUGGAGAGGGGGGGUGCAGUUGUAGAGAGAUGGGAUGUAAGUGCUCCUUUGGGAAAUAAGGGUCACCUCUUUAAUCCCCGAUGCGGGGGAUCUCUCCAGCCUGUGUUCUGGUUGUGAGCGUGUUGUUACUCGGCCUGCCUGCCUGCCAGCAGCUCAGUGUAUACAUUACUCAUGUGUUGGCGAUAAUCUUACUGUUAGUGGCGCUUCUCUUGUUGAUGGAAUAAUAAGGGAGGGCACAGGCUGGCGGUGUGUGAUACAGGCCUCUUUGAUUAUCCCCUGGAUUAUUGGAUUGUACAAUAUAGGAGGUUCAACCGCAGACUGGAAUCAGGAAAUGCAGGAGGGACAUUUGAUCGUCCUGAAUUCAUUUGUCCAACUGACAUGAACACCAGCAUGAGUGGGAUUGAAGCAGUAACAGACUGAGUAAACCGGACACCCCCUUGGUUAAUACUAUUGACUGUAUUUUAAAAUAGUCAUUUCUGCUCAUUGUGAGGUAUCAAACCGGAAAAAACUGCCUCCACAUGCAAGUACGUGUUGAGCUGGUGGAGACAACAAAGGUGGCAGAAAUGACUCACACUCGUGAUGAUAACUAAAACAUCCAUUUCAUCGAUUAAUCAAACGUUAAAGAUUCCUCAGAGUCCCACAGUCCACUGUAGGGCUGAGCGAUAAACAAAAAAUUACAACAAUAACCUAUGUCAUUUUGCCCAAGUCGGUAUAUUCUAGGGGUGUGAGAAAAAAAUCAAUUCACAUAAGUAUCGCAAUUUUUUGUUUUACAAUUUUUAAAUCCAUUUUUUUUGUUCAAAAAUCGAUUUUUUUUUUUAAAUACAAGAAUAAAUCUUAAAAACUGACUAACGUGAUGUGUACUUUUUGGGGAAAUAUGGUUCUUGAAAUAGUCAGUAGACAAACAUAAUUAUUCAGCUGUUUCACUGGUGUUAAAAAUGCAGACUAAAAAUCAAGAAAAACGACAAUAUCAUAGAAUCGCAAUUUAAAUCAAACCGGCAUCCAAAAACUCAUUGAGGAAUCGAAUCAGGAAGGAAAGCAUAUCGUUCCAACCCUAAUGUAUUGGUGUCAAAAAAAAACAACUCAAAGUUGUUUUUGGAUGUGUGUAGGUAGACUAUGGUCUCAUGUCCCUUUAAGACGCUGUCCUACUUUAGAGACGUGACUCCACCCCAUCCAGUCUGUAACAAAGAGGGAAAGACAG